CAGAGUUCAUGCCCUUCGGGGUAGACCUCCCACCCUGUUUAUAUACUAUUGUUGCUUUGGCAGGUGCCCUCACCAUGGGGCGUCCGGGUUCCGCCCGCGUCUCGCCUGCCAAAAGCCCCACUAAUUCUGUGUUCUGUGUCGUCUGAGUACUAUAUAAUAAGUUA
rnacentral:misc_RNA from 1 species